CCCUUAGAUGUUCUGGGCCGCACGCGCGCUACACUGACGGAGGCAGCGAGCGUGUCCUUCGCCGGCAGGUGCGGGCAAUCUUGCGAGUCUCCGUCGUGCUGGGGAUAGAUGGUUGCAAUUGUCGAUCUUGAACGAGGAAUUCCUAGUAAGCGCGAGUCAUCAGCUCGCGCUGAUUGCGUCCCUGCCCUUUGUACACACCGCCCGUCGCUACUACAGAGUGCCCGUGUCCAAGAAACGGUCGGACCUGUGCGGCCUCUCCGGGCGACCGGAGGGCCGUUACGGGGAAGACCCUUUAUUUGACGCGGGUCGAUGAAGUAAAAGUCGUAACA
rnacentral:rRNA from 1 species